ensembl:Mt_tRNA
CGAGAGAGGCCUGCUGCAGUGAAGACUGCUAAUCUUCAUCCCUUUGGUUAAACUCCAGAGCUCACUCGCCAAAA